CCAUCAAGGCAACUCCUGCCUCCGCUGCUGUGCCUCUGCUCUGCAGAGCCCAGUGCCUUCCUCCCCAGAAGGAAGACGUCGGGCCGUUUGCAGAGUGAAACAGCACUUCUCCAGUCUGCAAAGCACCCAGCAGCUCCCUCUGGAGAAGGAGGAUGUUGGGCAGUUUGCAGACUGGGAAGCCCAGCACCUCCCCCCCACUUGGCUGCAACUUGCCUUGCAGCAGCCAAAGAGAAGGAAUCAGGCUCCACGUGGAGCUGGCUUGGGUCCCUUUGAUCCUUUUGCCUCCCCUGUAAAGCAAGCAGUGGGAUUGGGGGGAAAGGAAGAAGGGAGAAGGGGGAAAGGAGCGAGGGAGUGUGGGGAGAAGCCAAGCCACUGUGACCCACUCACUACCUUCCCAUUUUAG
rnacentral:lncRNA from 11 species